rnacentral:rRNA from 1 species
UACAGAGGGGGCCAGCGUUAUUCGGAAUUAUUGGGCGUAAAGGGUGCGUAGGCGGCGCGAUAAGUCGGGUGUGAAAUCUCGGAGCUUAACUCCGAAACUGCAUUCGAUACUGCCGUGCUUGAGGACUGGAGAGGAGACUGGAAUUUACGGCGUAGCGGUGAAAUGCGUAGAUAUCGUAAGGAAGACCAGUGGCGAAGGCGGGUCUCUGGACAGUUCCUGACGCUGAGGCACGAAGGUCAGGGGAGCAAACGGG